GUGGCACCCAUGCCCACGGAUGCACCUGAGAGCUUCCAAGCUCUCUUCCUUCCUCUGACUCUCUUAUCUUCCCUCUCCCGAGUCUUUCUUGCUUCCCCUUCCAGGUGCACACCCAAGGCUCCUCUUCUUGAGCCCUGCUUUCUCCCCAAGCCCUCCUCCUCCUGCCAUGACCAUGGCCGAAGCCAUCACAGGUCUCUGCUCAGGCCGGGCCAGCCAGGGGGGUUUCCCCUCGCCUCUAGCUUCCCCUGGGGUUCCUCCUAGCUGGCGCAACUCCUCCCGAGCAUCUCCAGCUCCCUCCCUUCGUUGCUAGUGCCGAAAACGGAGAAGUCGUCGGCCUCCCCGCAGGUGCCGCCGUCGGCUCCCCUUGCAGCCUCUCCGGGGGCGCCUUGUAUUGGAAUGGGGGCGGCCCGGUCUUUUGAGCCCGCCGGCGCUCUCACCUGGGCAGGGGUGGCCCAAGGCGCGGCACCUGCACGGCAACCUCCAUCCCCGCGGUUCCUCUGUGCCGGCGUGAGGAAGCGGAUGACCGUGCAGGAGGGGGCCCCUGUCAGUUAGCUGGGCCAGGCCGACUGCCUCUAGUGGCCGCGCCUCCGUGGGAGUGCGUCAUCCCGCGGCGAAGGCGCACUAGCGAAAACCGCCUUCGACGUGUCCCUUCGCUGGCAGCCCGAGCUGCUCGGCCGACCCGAAGGCCUACCUAAGGCCCUAGGCGCAAGAUAGCCCCGAAGCUGAGCUCUUUUUCUCUUUUUCCUAUUUUGCUUAAACUUCAAAAAUCCAUAAUAAAUUCAUUUUAGCUCUGAUUCUUAUGAUUCAAAUUUCUACAAGUUCCUGAAUUCGAAACCUAUACAAAUAUGUGCCUUGCACAUUUUUCCAAGCAACCUUUAUGUGGUGUUUUUAUUUAAAUCCAAAAUCUGGAUAUUCUAAGCACCACCUUUGUAAAUUCUUAUAGGUUUCCAAUCAACUCCAAAUGGAGUGAUUCCAAAUUCCAGAGCCUUCUAAUAUCAUGCCCUAUUUUUUAAGCCUUGGUCAACAUUUUUUUCAGGCUUUAUUGUGUUGCAUUAAGUAAAUAGCUUCCUAUUGCUAUUUAUUCCAUAAUGAAAAAUUCCUAGAAUAUUCAUUUCAACUCCAAAUCUAGUGAAACAACUUCCUGAAUAUUUCUAAAGUUGUUCUCUCUUAAAUGAGUGCCUCCACUCAUUUUUAUCAGAAUAUUUUUUGUGGGCUUCGUAAAGAAUCCCCUACUCCUCCUUUCCUCCAUUCAGAAAUCCCUGACGAUCCAAACCUCCUAUGGCAAGCUUCAGGCAUUUUUCUUAUGAUCAGAGAGGUCCAAGUAAAAUAUAACUUCUAUUUUUGUAGCACAUUUAUUUCUGCCUGUUGUGUGGCUUACCGUGGUUGUUUCUGACGAUAAUUGACGGGUAGAUGGAGUACUCGGAGUUGGAGCAAAAGACCUCGAAGACGGAGGACUUAUGUGAGCAAAGGCAAGUAGCCCUUUGACCAUGACUGAGCAUAUGUUAUAUUGCAUGUUAAGAUACCAAGUAUUUCUACUGCAUAUGAUCAUAAGUGCCGGUAAAUCAUUUGAUGUGAUGUUACCGAUGGCUCCUCCACAGCACAUGCAUUGAGCUUGAUCCUACCCUUUUGAGGAUCACACUAUUAUCAUGUUGACAAGUAAUGCUAGAGUAAAUAGCAUGAGCAUGUUGUUGGUAUAAAUCCAAGAGUUUAUGAAAACCCCAUCGGGUGCCACUAAUGCCGGAGGGUGAUGAUGAGUUAGGUGGACACUUUUGGUGAAGUGGUGCACCGGGUAUUUUGAGUGAGUAAGGUUUCGAAAAUGGGAUUAGAUUUAUGAUGUGUCGACCGUCCCAACCUUACGAGUAAGAACACGUUACCCCUUAUGGGACGGGGCUAUAUUGAUUACUCUGGUCGGUGCUAGCAAAGAGCCACAUUACUAGUAGCGGGAGUGAUGUGUGGUCACUCUCGUGAUGGGGUCAUGCCAGGUAGGACGACUAUGCCAUUUUUAUGAGUUCCAGGCGCACCGUUGGUCCCCGCAUGGUUGAUACUGUCCAGAGUCGGUGCUCGUAAGACGUACAACAUGUGGGUUGGGUACCAAUCAAGUGGACCUCCUUGUCUAAUAUCGUCAGAGGAAAGACAUUGAUCGGGUACUUACCUUGGGUAUGUUAUAUACCGCGAGUCUUGGAUGACACGGAAGUUUCCCGGAUCUCGUGGGUCCAACGUACUACGUGUGCAGAGUGUAAAACUAUUCGAAUAGCCGUGUCCAUGGUCAAGGACAGUUGGGUAAUCCUGCUUAAACUACAUCCAGUCGUUUCCGCAUAAACCAAGCGUGUGUGAGUGGUGAUAGAAAGGUGUUAUUAUGGAAGUAAUGAUAUGACCAAGUUUGGUGACUUGGCAUAUAGGGUGAGCCCAAAUGGUUCAGCCCUCGGCAGAUAUAUUGAUAUCUGUAACCUGUUCUUCAAAAGUAGUUUUUAACUUGAUGCAUAUUUCAUGAUCAAUCCUCUAAGAUGAAUUCCACCAAAGAUGCAUGUUAUUGUUAUCCUUCACUUUCAUUGUUCAUGUCAUGGGCUGUUUGCGAGUACAAUCAAAAGUACUCAUUGGCUUGCCCCUGGUUAUUUCAUUGACCAGGUAUAAAAGAAUAGGAUAUGGUGAAGAGUAACUCGGUGACGUUCUUGCGAGCUAGGACGCUUCCCAGUCAGAAUGCCUGUAGGUUAAGGCUGAUGGCAUGGGUUCACGCUUUCAACCAAUAAUUCCGUUAUUGGUCCAGUUGGUGUGUUGGCCUUUAAGUCCCUAUAUAUGUAAGACUCGACCGCAAUGGUCAUUUAUUAUAUCAAACGGCAUGUAUGGAUGUAAGACUCUUAUUAUUCAGUUUCUGUGUGUUCGGUGAGCAUUGAUCUCUGGGAUCACUGAGCACGAUCAUUCGGCGAUCUCGACUCGUAGGUCGGGGUACCCACACCGAGUCUCGUUGUGUCAUUCCGUCGAACGAGUGAUGGGCAUCUCGGGCGCCGUCGGUGUCGUGCUUAUCCGCGUCCAAACGAGCUGCAACGAGUAACACGCAUCCACCGCCGACAUUUGCAUGGGUGGAAAGUUGUUCGGAAUGCCUCGGCAUGCUAUCGAGUCCUCCUGUGUCCCAACCACAUCCGUCGGCGCAAUCCUUGUCGAUGGACGAAUGGAUGGGGUACGGGGUUCCACGCACAAACGGGAGGGAGGGACAGCCCCUCCUCCAUGUCCCCUUCCACUCCCUGUGAUGCCCGACUGCUUAUCUCUCUUCCUAUCUAUCUAUUUAUCUUUCUCUCUCCCUCCCUCCCUCCCUCCCUCCCUCUCUAUUUCUCUCUCUCUCUCAUCGGUUCCUCUCAACGGUGUUCUCCGGCUUGCAGUACAAAGCCGAGGAUAGGAUGUCGACGGACAAGACAUACACAGCCUCUAUCACAGCGGUCGGGAAGGGGUUGGACGACAUCUUGGUUGGCGGAUCAGGACUAGCGGCGAGGAUGUGGAGCAAGGGUGUGGGAAGGUGAGGGCUCGAACACCGGAAAGGGAAAGGGGAGGCGGGAGAAGGAGGGUAGGUUUGGUGGAUUUGAUGCAAUUUAUGGUGGGCUAGGCCUAUCGCGCACACGCGCCCGGGAGCCCCCACACCUGGCCUACAUUUGUGUUAGAUAUGAGGGGUGUCGGUCAGUCCAGACGUUUGGGUCAUAUUUUCGUGACCGGUCAAUGAUUGAACCGUCCGCUCGGGCAAUUGAGUUGGGUUUAGGACAUCUCCAUGUAGGUGCUCUUAGAGGCAUUCUUAGGUGCCAAAAGUUGGUUGUAGUUUGAGCCUAUAAUGAGUUCCCAAAAAUGGAUGUUUUCUCUCGACUAGUGGAGUCAUAAUCCUAUCAUUUUGUUUAUUUGCAAAAGGAUUAAAUUAAUUAUAAAAUCCAUCGAAAGUAGAAAGCAUCUUAAACAUAAUAAAAGUUACAUUGAGAUUUUGAGGUGCCUCCAGAACGUUUGGAUAGAUUUUGUGUACAUGUUUAUAAAAACCUGUGGAGUAGCAGUCGUUGUCGUUGAACACUUGCAUGGAAAUGAAACAUGUGACGUCAAAUCUCAUGAUAUAGUGGAAAACUCUAACCCAACCGUCCCAAAAAGACGACAUGAAUUUACAUCGAAGCUCCAUCAACUACAUUCAAACGGACAAACUCAUGAACGAUCAGAGUCCGCACAACAGAUUAAAAAAAAAGUGCGGCCAUCCAUCCAAACAUCGCAUAUGUGAGGACUAAAACCUCUAAUCUAAACAAUUAACUGGAGCGAAGGCAACUGAGUUUCCCCAGCCGUCAUCGGCUGUCGGAGCGACAGCUAGAGGGGAAACGAAUUCAUAGACUCGUCGGUGAAAUCCGGUGGGAAGAGUUUUGUAAUCCUGCCAUUGACCGACGAAGCACGGCUAAAUGCACACAUACUUGUUUUGUGAGCACUGAGCAGUCAAAUUUGUUUAUCGUGCGUUGUACAUGACACGGACAGGGUCAACACUCAGCAGCUCCACAGGAGAAGUCUAUAUUUCGAGAAAGUAUGAAGGGGAAAGCCGUGGCAUGAGCGAGCUCGGCCAUUGCAUUGUCGUCGUCCUCGUAUCCUUUUUUGCGAUGAACGUGAUCAUUGCAUUUCUCACUCUCCGUUCUUGUUUCCUAACAAAACCGGAUGGUAAAAAACAUAAAGACGAGUCGUGCCGUGCAUGCAGCGCAGGGGAGUUGUUGAACUUUCUUAUGGUAGUCAAUGCUUGGCAGGUACCAUGGCGGGAACAAAAAGCGUCGGGCAUGCAGGGUCGGACUGCUGGUGCGCUGCAAAACACAGUAUAUUGCAACCCAACCACACACGGGUGAAUGAAAGUUGGCUGAAUUACUUGAUGAUACACACACGCAGGAUCAGUAAUGCUACACAUAUAUAAUUUUAUACAUACAUAAUUUUGUAGAGGUUUUAUGAAUUUUGAUUGAAGAUUAAGAGGACGACAGCUUCAUCCUCAUUAAAAAUCAUAAGCAAAAAUGUUAGUCAGAAAGAAAGAAUCAUAUUCAACGUGUAAUCUUGUGUAGCUUUUUAUAAAUUUAGCAUUUUUACACGCAGGAUGUUCAUGAGGGCAUGUUGGCUCUUUAACCCUCUGUUUUUAAUCUCCAUAACGCAAACUCCUUCGACGGGCUACUUCUGC
rnacentral:lncRNA from 1 species